AAGGCUUGGCGCGCUGCGUCCGCGGGUCCACACCGGCGAACGGAAGGGCGAAGGCGCCCUGGGCGUGUCGCAAGCCUGCGGAGGAGGCUUUGGCGGCUGCGGGCAACAUGGACAACGCAGGGAAGGAGCGAGAAGCGGUGCAGCUGAUGGCGGAAGCCGAGAAACGGGUGAAGGCCUCUCACUCCUUCCUCCGAGGGUUGUUCGGAGGAAACACAAGAAUAGAAGAGGCCUGUGAAAUGUACACUAGGGCUGCAAACAUGUUCAAGAUGGCCAAGAGCUGGAGUGCUGCAGGAAAUGCAUUUUGUCAAGCCGCCAAGCUCCACAUGCAGCUUCAGAGCAAGCACGACUCUGCUACCAGCUUCGUGGAUGCUGGAAACGCUUACAAGAAGGCAGAUCCUCAAGAGGCUAUCAACUGCUUAAAUGCAGCCAUCGACAUUUACACAGACAUGGGAAGGUUUACAAUUGCAGCCAAGCACCACAUCACUAUUGCUGAGAUCUAUGAGACGGAGCUUGUGGACAUUGAGAAGGCUAUUGCACAUUAUGAACAAUCUGCUGAUUAUUACAAAGGUGAAGAAUCCAACAGCUCAGCCAACAAGUGUCUGCUGAAGGUAGCAGCGUACGCUGCGCAGCUGGAACAGUACCAGAAAGCCAUCGAGAUCUAUGAGCAGGUUGGGGCAAACACUAUGGAUAAUCCCUUGUUGAAGUACAGUGCAAAGGAUUACUUCUUCAAAGCAGCACUCUGUCACUUCAUAGUGGACGAGCUGAAUGCCAAGCUUGCUCUUGAGAAAUAUGAGGAAAUGUUUCCGGCAUUUACUGAUUCCAGAGAAUGUAAAUUAUUGAAAAAACUUUUAGAAGCUCAUGAAGAACAGAACAGUGAUGCUUACACAGAAGCAUCAUAUCAACUGUUCCUAAAUGUUGCCAUGUACAAGUUCACUACAGAGAAGAAUUCAGUGCAGGGGCUCAUGGCACUAUUGGUGUAGUCAGAGGAUAAAGGAAGAGGAAACUCUUUUGGAUGAAGAAAGCUACAGAUUAGAAUGACUAAAUUCUAAUCAAAGCUGGUGAAGGAGUUUGACUCAAUAUCACGCUUGGAUCAGUGGCUGACCACCAUGUUGCUUCGUAUCAAGAAGUCCAUCCAAGGGGACGGAGAAGGAGACGGAGACCUCAAGUGAAAUGUUGACCUUUGUGGCACGCAGCUCGUUCCUCUUUAGUUUUGUCUGUGGGCAAAGUAAUCUUUCUAGAAGGGAUGCUCAUCUAAUGACUUAAUUUUCUUAUAAAUAAGCCACAUGGUUUAUAUAUUGUUUCAGCUUGCCAUGUCUGUGUUACUGUUAGAAUGGGAGGCUUUUGUUCAGGUUGUGGUUAUGACAACCAAAGUAUAUGCCAUGCUUACCAGAGUCCUCAUAACUUUCUGAGUACUGCUGAAUCAUUCCUGUUCUUUUGAUAUUUACAGAGCCCAUGUUUAAUAUUGCCACAUGUUUUAUUUUCCUUAAACUCUGGAACUCAGCCCAGUUAUUUCAUAGAUGCUUUGCAAAGACCCCAUGCACUGAUAUCUGGAUGUACCCUCCAUGUGUAUGGUUUAGUUUAGGGUAGUUAUUAGGAAUGACUUGUUAACUUCAUUAGAAACUGGUUUUGUUUUGUGACUAUUUUGAUGGUGCUAGUGAUGAGUUUAUUUGCUUUUUGUUAGUGUGCUCACGUGUGCAUGGCAAACACAGAGCAACUGAGAACUGUCAUCACUUUCUUCAUAGGAAGGAGCUUGCUGCCAGUUUCUGUUUCUCUGGGGAUGAAUGUCAAGGAGGAAUUUUACUGUUUUUUGGGUUGGUUUUUUUUUUAACUUACACACAAAAGAUGAGGAAUGAAAUUUUUCCCUUCCCAGAAAAAAAAUUCAUUUUUAUUUGGAAUGGGAAUCCCUCUCUUCUUAUUUGCAUAAAGAUGUCUUAAUUGACAUCUCCUUUAUUUUUAUAUUUAUACAUGCCCCUCAUAGUCUUCUGGACCAUGGUCAUGCCAGUCUUGAUCAGAGCUGGACAGAGGAUGCCAGCCAAAGCUUGAGGCUGUGUGUGGUGGUUAAGUGGUAUCAGUAUGGCACAGGAAGAGUAUGUUAUGCCUGAUUGGGCAAGAACCUCACUUGUGUCUCAGGAGCCCUGUUUUUUCCUCUAAGCUAGAGUGAUUUUUCUCUAAGCUGGAGUGAUUUCAGCUGUGUGAACUCUGUCCUGUUAAAGUGUGUGCUGUCUUGAUUUAAGAGUUCAAGCCUCCCUGGUACUUAUAUGCUGAUACUGUACUGUAGACAUGGUCUUGCUUCUUGAGUCUCCUGUGCAUAUUUUUAAUGCUGUGAUAAUUUGUGUUUGAAGUACAUAUGUUAUGAGAAAUAACUCACAGUCCCAAUGUUCUGCUGUCGUUAGUGACAGAUAAUGAAACUCCUGUUUCAUCAGGUAGGAAGCUUUGGAAGACCCUUUGGAAGAUGGGAGUUGGAAGCUAUUAUUGUGUAGAAGUAAAGUGCCUGGCGAGGCCUGAGACCAAGCAAGAAGAGCUUGAAGACUGGUGAGAAAGGUCUGUCAGGAGUGAAAGUAGCCGGAGGUGAGGUUGAAACGAGCCUGAUGAGGGCAGGUGAUGGAGAUGUGUGCCAGACUCUGUGAGGGCAGGUGAUGGAGGUCUGUGUCAGGCUCUGUGAGGGCAGGUGAUGGAGGUCUGUGUCAGGCUCUGGAGGGCAGGUGAUGGAGGUCUGCAUCAGGCUCUGUGAGGACAGGUGAUGGAGGUCUGUGUCAGGCUGUGAGAGCAGGUGAUGGAGGUCUGUGUCAGGCUCUGUGAGGGCAGGUGAUGGAGGUCUGUGUCAGGCUCUGGAGGGCAGGUGAUGGAGGUCUGCAUCAGGCUCUGUGAGGACAGGUGAUGGAGGUCUGUGUCAGGCUGUGAGAGCAGGUGAUGGAGGUCUGUGUCAGGCUCUGUGAGGGCAGGUGAUGGAGGUCUGUGUCAGGCUCUGUGAGGGCAGGUGAUGGAGGUCUGUGUCAGGCUCUGUGAGGGCAGGUGAUGGAGGUCUGUGUCAGGCUCUGUGAGGACAGGUGAUGGAGGUCUGUGUAAGACUCUGUGAGGACAGGUGGUGGAGGUCUGUGUUAGACUCUGUGAGGGUAGGUGAUGGAGGUCUGUGUCAGGCUCUUUGAGGACUCAGUGGCCCCAGUCAUGGUGGUGACACAGUAGGAAGCCCAGCAGUCUCUGCAUGUCUGGGGGUAGAGGGAAUGUGCCCUGGAAUCUAAUGAGGAUUCCUUUUUUCUUCAUUUUUUUUCUAAGUUCCUGAAUGAAAGCUGGCUGCACCAAAGGUAAAGUUUGCAGUGCAGUCAGUUUGUCCUUCUUGACUCCACUAGACUCUCUUAUGAAAACAAUGAAUAGAGAAAAGUAAGUUUGCUGUACUCACUUUAUUCUGCAGCAAGCCACAGGCACACUGAAAUGAGGUGUGGGAAGUGGUUCUUAGCUCGAGGCCUCUGGCUCUAAGUCGGCUCAUGUGGGAGAGCUUUUGAAUACCAGCCAGCCUGUGUGCAGUGUGACCAGCAGUUGUCUUCUGGUCUGACCCUUUAAAGUAAAAACCAUAUAGUAUCUUUCAGGGCAAUUAUGUUCACCUUACAUCAUGAUACCUUAACAGACAUUGUCUGAAAUGUGAACUUGUAUUGCUUUGCUGUUUUAAUCAGUUAUCUGCUUAUACUGAAUAAGUAGUAAUGGGCCAGGCGUAGUGACUCAUGCCUAUAAUCCCAGUGCUCAGGAAGGUAAGGUCAAAAGAUUUCUCUGAGUUUGAGGCUAUCCUGGGCUAUAUAGUGAGUUCCAGCGUCCCCCCCCCAAAAUAAAUAAAUAAAAAGAAAAGAAACACUGAGGUCAGUGGUUGGUUAAUUUUGUCUUAGUACUUGGGAAACUGAGACACCAAGCCCAUGAUCUUAAGGGUAGCCUGGGCUACAUAGUAGCAAGACCUGUCUUUAAAAAAAGUCAAGACCAGACCUGAUAGAAAAGAAUGAGGAAAAUGCCCAGACAGUAGUGUGGAAGCUUACUUCCUCAAAUAUCCCAUAUGUCUCAAGAUACCUAGGAUUUAGGCUUUCAAGAUUUCUAAAAUAUGUGGCUGCAGAAGUGGCUCAGUAAUUAAUAGGGGUCCUGAGUUCAGUUCCCAACACUCACAACCACAUGUAACUCCAGCUCCAGGGUAUCUGAGACCCUAUUCUGACCUCCUUGGGCACUGAUGCUAGCGUGCACGUGCGCGCGCACACACACACAGAGACACACUCUAAAAUAAAUCUUUAAACAAGAUUUCUAGAAUUUUAGGAACAAAGUUCAGCAAUCGCUUCUGUUGUGGUUCUUGUGCUUAGGCACGUGUGGGGUAGUUCAUAGUUAAGUCGGUAAAAUUCCUUACAGAAAAGCUUUGCUUUUGUGGCAACAUUUUUAUAGCUUGUGUGAAUUCUUUUUUUAUUUAAUGAUCUCAACCAGUAUUUUUGCACAGUUGUGACCAUGUGUGGUGAUGUCACCAUAACCAAAGUAUAUGCAGCAGCCCUUGUGCAUUACUGUUCCCCUGGUACUGUGCACUUGCAAUGUCCAAAUACAAACCCUUGUGAAUCUGGAGGGUCUGGCAGCACAGCAUGCCCCGUGACCUGCCUGCUGUGGCGUGAGCUGUGACCAGCAGCAGGCUUCCUGCCCUGUGAAGUCCAGAAUUGCUCUCAGGCAGGGGAGUAAUUAUAAAAACUAACCCUGUAACAAUAAAUCUACCUUAGCAGAAAUGUUUGUUUUAUGUGAACUUGUACAGUAAAUAAAGUGGAAAUUAUGAGUAA